UACAGAGGUGGCAAGCGUUGUUCGGAAUUACUGGGCGUAAAGGGCGCGUAGGCGGUCCGAUAAGUCCCGUGUGAAAUCCCUCGGCUCAACUGAGGAAUGGCACGGGAAACUGACGGGCUUGAGUUCGGGAGAGGGAAGCGGAAUUCCGGGUGUGAGCGGUGAAAUGCGUAGAUAUCCGGAGGAACACCGGUGGCGAAGGCGGCUUCCUGGACCGACACUGACGCUGAGGCGCGAAAGCUAGGGGAGCAAACGGG
rnacentral:rRNA from 1 species